rnacentral:rRNA from 1 species
ACAGAGGGUGCAAGCGUUAAUCGGAGUUACUGGGCGUAAAGGGCGCGUAGGCGGUUAUUUAAGUUUGAUGUGAAAUCCCUGGGCUUAACCUAGGAACUGCAUUGAAUACUGGGUAACUGGAGUACUGUAGAGGGAAGUGGAAUUUCCGGUGUAGCGGUGAAAUGCGUAGAGAUCGGAAGGAACACCAGUGGCGAAGGCGGCUACCUGGACAGAUACUGACGCUGAGGCGCGAGAGCGUGGGGAGCAAACAGGA